UGAAAUGUUUGUGAUGAUGCAAUCUCCCCGCGGAAAGACGGAAAGACCCCAUGAACCUUUACUGUAGCUUUACAUUGGACUUUGAACAGAUCUGUGUAGGAUAGGUGGGAGGCUUUGAAGUGAGGACGCUAGUUCUCAUGGAGCCGACGUUGAAAUACCACCCUGGUGCGUUUGAGGUUCUAACCCAGGUCCCUUAUCGGGAUCGGGGACAGUGCAUGGUAGGCAGUUUGACUGGGGCGGUCUCCUCCCAAAGAGUAACGGAGGAGCACGAAGGUGUGCUAAUCAUGGUC
rnacentral:rRNA from 13 species